rnacentral:lncRNA from 1 species
CCAAAUUAAAUAUCCAUGUGCUGGAAUCAAAGAAACAUAUGCCCAAAGAAAAAUGUGCUUCCUUUCAUUUCAUUCUAACAACGUGAAGGAAAAAAAAUGUUCAAACAUGGAAGUUGCUAACAAUGUUCAAAAGCAAAAAUAAAAUUAAACAAGUGUGAUGGUUGACUACAGCAAAGCAAUAACAUUUUCUAUUUCACAUCAGCCUCCAUUUCAGCACCGAGUGUUCCAGUUGGUGGCGGCUGUGUGUUUCCCAGAAAUCAAGUAACGUCCCUCUCUGCUAAUGUAACAAUGUCGGCUUUUCUUUAAUAUCAAGAGAAGAAUGACCUAUUCCCUGGCUGCUGCCCUCUACUGCUGGGCCGUGAUGGUGGGACUUUCAUUCUGCUGCCACCUCCAUUCUCACCAGGCACACACCUCA